rnacentral:rRNA from 1 species
GCCUCAAGUUAUGUGUGACAACCCCCUGAAUUUAAGCAUAUUAAUAAGGGGAGGAAAAGAAACCAACCGGGAUUCCCUGAGUAGCUGCGAGCGAAACGGGAGAAGCUCAGCACGUAGGGAUGGCGGCCCGCCCGUCUAUCCGAUUCCGUGUACUGGUACGUCUCACUAUCCGUCUUCCUAGUGGUAUUCAAGUCCAACUUGAACGUGGCUUUGAACCCAUAGAGGGUGAUAGGCCCGUAGAACACCACCCAGCGGUUGAUGGACCGAGCGUACCAUGGAGUCGUGUUGCUUGAUAGUGCAGCACAAAGUGGGAGGUAAACUCCUUCUAAAGCUAAAUACGACCAUGAGACCGAUAGUAAACAAGUACCGUGUAGGAAAGUUGAAAAGCACUCUGAAUAGAGAGUCAAAUAGUACGUGAAACUGCCGAGGGUGUAAAGCCUGUUGAACUCGAUUAUCCGUAGCUCCUGGCAACGUGGGUUUUGGCUGUCACGCAGAAGGGGGCAAAUGCUCUCUUCUGUAUGCCUUGAUCCUAGCCAGGAGCGAGUGCGGACAUCGUGAUCCAUUACGCAAACCAAAUGCGAGCGGCGACUCCGGUUGCUGCGAGCAUAUCCAACAUCAGGUCCCAGAACAUGCGGUCGACCCUCUAGUAGUGGCGCUCAGCUUAAGGCCGGCGUCGCGAACGGGGGAUCGAGGCUCCGGUCUCGAGUUCGGCUAGUUCAGGUGUGCCGUUGGAUGCGUGAUGGGCAUUGAAGUGAACUAGAGAAGUGUGAAGCGCAUGUUUGGGCAUGUUCAAGGGCGAAAGCCUGAGCCGAGCACGACUCCGGAUCUACGAUGUACUAACUAAUCGAGGUACCUACGGGACCCGUCUUGAAACACGGACCAAGAAGUCUAUCUUGCGCGCAAGUCAAUGGGAGUAGCAAACCCAAAGGCGAAGAUAACACAACUGCAAAGUCGUUGCGGGAUUACGGGUGCACCACAGUCCGCAAGGACUGGCUAGCUGUGCCGCCCCUCCAUCCCCGGGUGUUUAGCAACGGAUCUGUAGUGCCGCGGACCCCCCGACAGGGGUGGGCAUUUGCAGAGCCAACGCGACAUACCGCGAGCGCGCAGGAUGUGACCCGAAAGAU